UGAAACUGCUUCUGGGGUUCUGUUGCUUCUCCCAGAGGGCUGAGCGUCCUGGGCGUGGGGUGUGUGCAACGCAGUUGCAGGCAGCUGUCUCUAGCUGCCUGCAGGGUGACUGCCUCCGUGGUGGCGGCCGGCCCUGCCCACAUUCCAGAGGGAUUGGUUGGGGCGCUCUGCCGUCCCGCCUGCUCCAGCUCCUGGACCUCUGACCCCGGCCAGAGCCCACUCCCUCAGUCUUGGGCACCAGGCAGCAGCUGGCUCGGGGAGGGCGAGGCGGAGGAGGCGCUGGAAUGUGUGCAGGGGCUGUGCCCCUACCUGCAGAACCUUAUCUUCCCACAACACCUGGCAAACUCCUAUUUCUCUGGCAACGUCUCAGCCCCAAAGUCCCUUCCUCCAGGUGGUCUCCCUUCCCUGAUCCCGGGAGCUGCAAGAGGGCUGGACAAGGGUCGUGCACACGCGAGAAGGAGGUGCGACAGGAAAUGCCUGGGUGUGAACAGGAGUGCACGUGAGCGCGCCCGUGCCGGGGGUCCACGUGCGGCGCCCCCAGGUACGCCCCCUCUUCCGUCCAGGCCCCGCCGCAUCCGUCAGGCGUCGGCUGCGUCUCCCGCCCCCAAGUUUGCAGACGCGCGAGGAGAGUGGAGAGGCGCCUGCGCUUGCGCAUUCGCCUAGCCAUGCUGAAUUCCCGCCUACAGCUGGCCACCCAGCAAUGCUAUUGGUGCUUACAGAUAAGUGAACGGUGCACCCACCAAGGAGACGUUCCCGGGGGCAGGCGUGGCCUGGGCUCUGGACGGGCAGACGGGGGCGGAGGGACGCCCUCCCUGCACUGACGUCAGGCUCCUUUCGCGGCGCGUUUCCCUGGAAACCGCGUUUCCAUCUCUGCGGGUUUCCGGGGGCCGCACCCUCCCAUUCAGCUUUUUCCUCAAUGGGGGCGGUGGGGGGGGCGAUCCGAGAAGAAAUGGUGCACGGCCAAUCCCACCCGCCUGAGAUUCCAGCAGCCUCUUGCCUAGUCUGUGCCUCAGUGUACCUUUCCAUGCCUUCGACUCAACAUUGGGCCUCCACCUACUCCGCCUGUGUGCCUCCCAGGUGCGGGCAGGUGCUAUGGAUGCGCCGGCCACAGAGAAAGGACUGGGAGUGGGGCUUCUUCCUUCUAGGAUCCCCGGGCAGGGCCCUUACCGAUGCGACGCCCCCCAGCCCUUGUAUUCCUCAGACCCCCCCGAAGACAAUCGUGGCCUGAUCCCCCCAAUGCGCUUCCCGCGCGCUCCCCCAAUCCGGAGGCAGGCCUUGACUCCCGGGGACUCCCAGACUGGGGUGGGGGUUGUGGACAGCAAAGGAUCUGUUCCGGGCCUGCAGUGUGAUUCAGCAGGCGCUUCUAUCACAUCCUCCAUCCUCCUCCCCACCUCGCCCUGGGCUCAGGGAGGUGGUGACUGAGGUCAGGCCGAGCUCAGCCGUGACCCGGGGCGGGGACUGCGGGUUUCACCUGAACUUCUCUCCCCCACUCCCUGUGCCUUCCAACCCAAGGGGCCAUUUGCGCCCACGACCUUGAGGCCUGACCAGGCAUCUGCUUUGCUCCUGUGGGCGUGGGAUGACUUGGGGGUGACUGGCGGUGGGAGGGCAGAAGGCUCUCAGGAAGAUAUCCCAGACCAUCCCUGGGAAAGGAACUGCCCCUUUCCUCUCAUGUUCUUUGGGACGCUGCUAAGGAGGGCCGAGGCUUGAACCAUCAGAAAUCAGAUGAUCGUGUGUAUGGGGUGUGUAUGGGGAGGUCACAUAUACACCCUAAUCACAGGCAAGUGCUGUUACUGAGACUUGGUUUUCCUGUCUGUAAAGUGGGAGUAUAAUUACUUGUAACUCUUAGGUUGCAUUGCUUGUUAAAUGAGGAAAUGCCCUUAAAAGGAUUUAGUGGUGGGAUGAUUAUUCUGUGUGCCCAGCCCCAAAAGGUAUGAAGGUGAGACCCUCUCUAGAGCUUUUCUCCAGAGGGGCCCUUGGGGAGCCCCAGACUGGCAGGGUGUGCGUGGGGGUGGGGGUAGUUCCCAGCAGACCAGAGGGGACUUGGGGCAGGGGGAAGACAGGUGUUCCCAGGUGGGUAAAGGCUGGGGCAAAGAUCUGGAGGUUUUGCCCGGUGAACACGAAGGGCUGGAAUGUAGCACGAGGGUGUGGCCGCAGAGGCGCCCUGAGGUCAUUGGGGCUGGGUGAGGCUGCAGGGCAAGGCCAGCCUGAGGCCCAGGGCUGGACCUCAGGAGGUCUGGGCUCCUGGGACCUACGCUGGUGGUUGUCCCUGCGAUAAUACUGAGACUCCAGGAAGAACUUAGGGAGUUUCUCAGGGUUGGGGCCGCCUCCUACUCUUGUGACAUAAAAAGCAAGGACCAGGUCUCCCCGGAUACUGACUCCUAAGUUCCCGUCCCCACAGCCCACAUCAGAGCCGGGAAUGGAAAGCGGGUGCGGGUGGGUCCUGCCCAGGGUGUGCAACAACAGGGCAGACCCGCACCCCACACCCCAAGGGCUUCCGGCCUCGGGUGCCAGGAAGUGGCCGCCCCACCCUCCUCCACCCCUGCAGCUUCCUGCCCACCCCCAACCAGGGAGGGGGCGUGAGAAGCGCUAGAGACCUGGCCACUGCACCCUUCUCCCUAUACCUCAGGCUAUAAUGGUCGAGACAACUCCUCCCAAGAGGAGCAGGCCACACGCAACUUGUGUUUUAUUUUGUUUAUUACUGGAAAUCAAGAUGUGUGUAGGGCUUUUUUUUUUUUUUUUUUUCCUUCCAAUUUUCAUACAGCAUACUCGCGCGGUGCCAGGACCCCCACAGCCCGACCCCUGAGGGUGGUGUGUAAUGCUUUCUAGGGGGGACCCUGAGAGGGAGGGCAGAGAACUUCCGGCCGGUUCUGUCUGGGGCCUCCACCCUCAGACCCGCGGAGGCACGGGCGUUAUUUAAAAAUCGUUUAAAAAACAGAACACAUUUAAAUAGGUAUACAAGACAGUUUUUCAAAAAACAAAUGCACCCCCCUUUUUUUCUCCUUUUGGAAAAAAACCCAAAAAACAAACAAAAAAAUAAUAAUAAAAAAAAACCAAAUCCUUGACCUCUACCAUCUGGGACCCCAUCCCUACCCUCCCACCCCCACAAAAAAUUUUACAACUACAGUUAACACAUGAUGUUCACUUCUGAAACCAUUUAACUUUAAACACGGGACGAGGGCAGGAAGGACUUGGGGUUCACCUACAAGAACAAAGGGGAGGGGACCACAGGUGGGGCCAGGUAAGACUGACAGGUGGGGGCGGGCCCAAACUUCCCAUAAAAAAAAAUUAAAAGUGAAUGGGGAAAAAAAAAAAAAAACACAAAAAUCCUCCACCCUCAUUGAAAUGGCCCUAGUAGAGGGUCUCUCCCCCGGUCCCUGGGUCCCAAGACCCCCAGGGCUUGGGCACUGAGUGGGGAGGGUCCUAAAUAGACCAGCAGCGGACCCCAGGGGGGCUUAAUGCUACACAGCCCAGCCCCAUGGGGCGUUCACAGCUCAGCACCCCCCUCCCCAGCUGGCUCCAGAGAAUCCCCAGACAGUCCACACCUCAUAUCCCUCAGGCUGGGCUGGAAAGGAAGAAGGGGUGGGGGGCAUCUCCCCAGACCCCUACCUUUUCUCUCCUGGUUUUCAAGCCAUUCCCAACCAGUAUUGGCUCAGUCAGAAAAUUAAUAAGUCUAUAAAUAGUCCCCAAACUCAGGCAAGAGGUCAGGGAAGUGGGAUGUGGGGGUGGGGGUGGGGGUGGGGACAGGAGGUGGAGGAAAGGGGCACAGUUGCGGCCGGCGACUGGAGAGGGUGGGCCAGGGCUGGUCCCCGUUUCCAUUUUUGGCAGGAAAAGGUCCCCAAGGACCUUUGCCUGAGCCCAAAGCAUACCCUCCACCCCCAGCUCUGGGCCAGACUCUGCUGAACACGGAUUUACAUGGAAAAAAAAAAAAAGAAAAAAG